UGGGAUUGUCACCUUUCACUCAACUGCCUCAGUCCUAAAACCAUUGACCUUGAUUGAUAAUUUGGAGACCAGAGAAAAGCUGUCUGAGUCACUGCCCACUAUCCUCGGUGGUGGCACACAAAUAUGUCAAGGUCUUUAUAAAGGAUUAGAGGUUCUCAAAACACUUGAUGGGUUUUCAAAUGGAAAAUUAAUUAUUUUCUUAACUGAUGGAGAGUCUAAUGAUCCAAUAAAUUGCGUAAACAAAGCCAUCACAAGUGGUGCUACAGUACACACAAUUAGUUUUGGACCUGGUGGAGAUCCACUUAUGGAAGAGAUGGCUGAAAAAACAGGCGGUAAAUUAUUCUCUGUCGGCGAUACUUUAAUUUCCAAUGAGCUUAUGGAUGUCUUUGCCUCACUAACAACUUCUGAUGGAGAUCUGACACAACAGACUAUCCAGCUUGAAAGCCUUGGAUUUACUGUAAGUGGGUCUGGCUUGUCCAGUGGGACUGUGUCCAUUGACAAGACAAUUGGCAACAACACAGCUUUUCUCAUCCUCUAUGACGUCAGUCCACCACCAACCAUCCUUGUAGAAAGCCCCUCUGGACAGAAAUAUAAUACGUUUAAACUUGAUCCCAAAGAU